GCAGCUCUCUCGAGUACGAUCCAUGUUUUUAAGAUCCAUGCAGCAGGAAUCAGUUUGAUCCCAGCUGACUAAACACAGAAAUUCAGGAGUCUUGCCCAGGUUCCCACAGGGAGGGCUGGAUCCUGUGAGGAUUAGGCAUGUCCUCACAGGCACUGCAGUCACAUAAAGCAGCGGCUAUGCUCAGGGUGUAAUUUCCUUCCAGGGAUGUUUCCUUCCCAUGGAAGAUGGGAUUGUGGCUGGAUUUUACAUGCUGCAGUACACUGAAACUCCUUGACUCUUCAGCACUGAUAAAAAAAGAGAAACUCACCUCAUUUUAGCAUUUUCCAGUGUAUUUUCGACCAAGAUUUGCAAACCUAGCCAGACAUUAUGGAGUAACUAGACUGUGUUUUAAAUAGCUGUCCUUCCUCAUUAUCCAGCACAGACAGAGUAAUUAAUUACCUGGGACUGCUGUGAUCCCAGGUGAAUUGCUCCCAGCUUAAAGUUCCACUGGUUUACUGGGAUUUGGAACAAAAAACCAGGAGUCUGCUGCUCCCUGUACCUGGGGCAAACCUCAAUCACAGAAAAACUCUGGCAUAUUUCAUGGUGAGGAACUUGAAAUACAGGAGGAAAGAACACACACACAGAGCCAGCAAUUCCACAGUCUAUGAAGAACUGGGAAAAGAAAACAGCACCUGCACCUCCCAGUGUCCUCCUGCUUAGUUCUGCUGCUCAGCAGAGCUCGCAGC